UGCUGUGAACCAGGAGAUCAGUAGGGAUUUUAGGUAGAUCUCGCUCCUCAGCAAGGGGGAGUGCUUGCCCGGCAAGCAAGUACUCGAAAUGCUACCGGGGUGGUCGCUAUGUACAUAGCUAUAGCUUCCAGUCCGGGACGUUUGUCUGGGGUAUCCAGACUCAUGCACCAUGUUGAUACAUGCACCACUUGUGGGUGUUCAGGGUGUCGUGGUUGUAAUCCCUUCAGUGUGGAACACGCCACGUAAAACAAGUUCGGAGAGGUCCGAAAGUCACUGUCACUGUCCCUAUCUACUAUCUAGCGAAACCACAGCCAAGGGAACGGGCUUGGAAUAAUUAGCGGGGAAAGAAGACCCUUUUGAGCUUGACUCUAAUCUGGCAGUGUAAGGAGACAUAAGAGGUGUAGAAUAAGUGGGAGAUAUUAGACCUCGGUUUGGUAUCGUCAAUGAAAUACCACUACUCUUAUUGUUUCCUUACUUGAUUAAAUGGAACGUGUAUCAUUUCCUAGCCAUUAUACGGAUAUAUUUAUUAUAUCUUAUGGUAUUGGGUUUUGAUGCAAGCUUCUUGAUCAAAGUAUCACGAGUUUGUUAUAUAAUCGCAAACAAAUUCUUUAAUAAAACGAUGCAUUUAUGUAUUUUUGAUUUGAAAAUUUGGUAUAACUCCAAUUACUCAGGUAUGAUCCAAUUCAAGGACAUUGCCAGGUAGGGAGUUUGACUGGGGCGGUACAUCUCUCAAAUAAUAACGGAGGUGUCCCAAGGCCAGCUCAGUGCGGACAGAAACCACACAUAGAGCAAAAGGGCAAAUGCUGACUUGAUCUCGGUGUUCAGUACACACAGGGACAGCAAAAGCUCGGCCUAUCGAUCCUUUUGGUUUAAAGAGUUUUUAACAAGAGGUGUCAGAAAAGUUACCAUAGGGAUAACUGGCUUGUGGCGGCCAAGCGUUCAUAGCGACGUCGCUUUUUGAUCCUUCGAUGUCGGCUCUUCCUAUCAUUGUGAAGCAAAAUUCACCAAGCGUUGGAUUGUUCACCCAUGCAAGGGAACGUGAGCUGGGUUUAGACCGUCGUGAGACAGGUUAGUUUUACCCUACUAAUGACAAAACGUUGUUGCGACAGCAUUCCUGCGUAGUACGAGAGGAACCGCAGGUACGGACCAAUGGCACAAUACUUGUUCGAGCGAACAGUGGUAUGACGCUACGUCCGUUGGAUUAUGCCUGAACGCCUCUAAGGUCGUAUCCGUGCUGGACUGCAAUGAUAAAUAAGGGGCAAUUGCAUU
rnacentral:ncRNA from 1 species